UGAGGAAUAUUGGACAAUGGAUGGAAAUCUGAUCCAGCCAUGCCGCGUGCAGGAAGACGGCCCUAUGGGUUGUAAACUGCUUUUGUAUGGGAGCAAUAAGGACUACGUGUAGUUUGAUGAGAGUACCAUACGAAUAAGCAUCGGCUAACUCCGUGCCUGCAGCCGCGGUAAUACGGAGGAUGCGAGCGUUAUCCGGAUUUAUUGGGUUUAAAGGGUGCGUAGGCGGCGAUAUAAGUCAGUGGUGAAAUAUUUCGGCUUAACCGAGAGACUGCCAUUGAUACUGUGUUGCUAGAAUAUGGUUGCUGUGAGUGGAAUGUGUGGUGUAGCGGUGAAAUGCUUAGAUAUCACACAGAAUAUCGAUUGCGAAGGCAGCUCACAAAGCCAUUAUUGACGCUGAGGCACGAAAGUGUGGGGAUCAAAC
rnacentral:rRNA from 1 species